rnacentral:piRNA from 1 species
GCUCCGGGGGAGAAACAGACGGGCCUGA